AAAGGUAGCAAUUUGGCAUAAUCAAAGCAGAAGUCGAGGGCAAAGUUUCAGGGAUCAACCAUGCUUAUUUUCAUGACAUGUUAUGAAGCUGUUGGAAACAAAUUGUAGUCUGAACUUGGGGUGCUCACCAAGCUGUUUGGGGAAACCCCAAAGCUCAAGAAGGUAAGGGAUGGAGAGAUGGAAGGAAUAUUUUGUUUUAACAGAGUUAAACAUUUUGGAGCAGUGAUUUCACUUCAGCAGUAUCCCCUGUUUGGAACGAUAGUGUGGUUUCAUUUUACAGCACCCCCAGUUUAGGACACGGUUGUCAAGAUGUGCAUUUCACCUCUGUUGGGUAUGUUUACCAAGAAAAUCUGCAUUAAUCGAGAACAAAAGCCAGAGUUUUAAAGAUAAUCAGAUACCUUUGUAGUUCUUCAGAUGAUAAACAUUGCUGACUAGCAAUCUGGCAGUGUUAUUCCCGUGACCUGCCAAGCAGUUUUGGGGGAGGGGGAGCUACUGCACU